GUCUGCACUUGUCGGGGAAGGGUGAGAACCCUCGAUUAAGGUUCGACUCGAGCGAAAGCGAGAGAACGUUGCCAACGGCAACGGCCCGUAGGGUGA
rnacentral:sRNA from 1 species